rnacentral:lncRNA from 1 species
AAGUAUUACUUUUAUUUAUUUUUUUGUUUGGUUUCCUUAACCAGUAUCCCGAAUGCACCGGUCAACAUGACCCUUUUUUUAAGGUUUAAUUAGUAAUUUGCAGUCUUCAAUUCAAAAUUAUUUAAGAAUUAAAUAUGUUUUAUUUACUAACAAUUGAUUGGUUUAAGUGGUAAAAGAUUUAGAUCUUUAUGUAACAAAAAAAAAGAUUUAGAUCUUUUAAAUAGGUGGUUAGAGGUUCAAUAUUUGACUCUUGUAUAAUGAGAAAAUUCAAUUAUGAAGAAAACAUCCGUUUAAUUUUUGAUUUAAUUCGAUAACCCAUUUAAAUCCAAAGUGGUUUGGUCAUGGUAAAAAAAAUUGUAAUUCCGCUUCCCUAAACCCGCUCAGUGACCUAUAUAUACUUGCCUCCACUUAUUCUAUCACUCAUUGAGAUCUAGAUUGAUAGGGUGUUAUAGGAUAAUUGUAAGUUAUGUUUCAUUCAAGAAUUUUGGUGGAGCAUCAAAGAUCUAAAGCAAAAGUAGGUACUUUUCACCUCCAAAGGUAAUCGUGGGGGUUGUUCUUAAAGUGGAGCAUCAAAGAUCUAAAGCAAAAGGAGGUACUUUUCACCUCCAAAGGUAAUCGUGGGGGUUGUUCUUAAACAAUCAAUGUUCAAGGGGAUCAAAGUGUGGAAAUAACAAAGAAAAUUUCUUGGGUAAGAAAAUUGAAGGAUUGCAUGCAAGUUUGAGAUUCGAAGACCUUGAGAUUAUCCGAUUUUAAGGCGGCUUGAAUAUUGAAGGCUUUGAGGUGAUUACUUGGCAUGGAAGAUUUAAGAUUUAGUGGAUUUGUAAAUUCAAGGAACCAUUGUAAUAAUUGACUCUUGUAAACAUUUUAAACAUUCUAGUAGAAGUCGAUAGAAGAGACGUUUUAUUCUGCGAAGAGAGAGUGUAUCCCAUAGUGAGAACAAUUGGAGGAACCUCUGUAAAUCUGGUAUUCUCUUCUCACUUUCUCUUUAUUUCUUGCAAUAUAAUUUGCUAUAUGUUAAUUGAUUAAUUAGGUUAAUUGAUUCACAUGCAUAGUGAUUGAUUUAGUUGAAAUUCUAAUUGAUAGUUCAAUCACUAUACAUAGUUGACAUUAUCUUUUUUAUUGAUUCAUCAUAUAUCAAAUAACCUUGUU